CCGGACCCAUCAUACCACUGCUAAUGGAUGUACCAGGGUGAGAAACAGAAUUCCCAGAAGCAAAAAUGGGAGUUGACAUACCAGUAGGCUGUAAACCUAGGAUAAAGCAGAGGAGAGUAAAGGUUACCUGGCCCAGGUGCUGCCAGAAAGCUUGGACUAGGAUAUGGACUAUCAACAGUCAACGGGGGAACUAAAAAGGAAAAAGAGAAAUCUAAGUGUGUUUGAAAAAAAAACAAAAAACAGAUAACCCAAAAUAACACUAUGAGAAGUUGCCAAAACAUAAUAGUAAACACAGACUUUACAGGACCCUUCUGCAAACCCAUUCCAACAGCUUUUAUUUAAUUAAACACAAAAUAGCAUUAAUUUAUGCUGAAACCAGCACUCCUUAUCUGAGCCAAAUAGAUAUGACUCUUUCAAUAGCAGUUAUUAAGCAUUUUUGUUUUCAGCAUUCACGCAGUAUUUGCUGUACACAGUCUGUUCCCUUUACUGAAUAUUAAUACUGUUCACAUGCUUUUUCUUGUUUUUCAUCUUCUGAAUACCCCUGUUCCUGAUGCAGGCACCCACUCUGAAAGCACUCACUUUGACUCACUUAGAUCUUUUCAGUGAACAUCAAU